rnacentral:misc_RNA from 1 species
AACCAUAGAAACCUGCGGAGUACCUGCGGAGGGAUCAUUAACCUUUCAAAAAACAGGGUGCGUCGCGGCCCCCCUCCGGGGGCGGUUUGGGGUCCUCCCCUUCACGCGCGCACGACUGCAUCCUUACUUUACGAGCACCUUCUGUUCUCCCUCGGCGGGGCAACCUGCCGUUGGAACCGAAUAAACCCUUUUUUGCAUCCAGCAUUACCCGUUCCGAAACAAACAAUCGUUACAACUUUU